GUGGGGAAUAUUGGACAAUGGGCGAAAGCCUGAUCCAGCCAUGCCGCGUGUGUGAAGAAGGUCUUCGGAUUGUAAAGCACUUUAAGUUGGGAGGAAGGGCAGUAAGUUAAUACCUUGCUGUUUUGACGUUACCAACAGAAUAAGCACCGGCUAACUUCGUGCCAGCAGCCGCGGUAAUACGAAGGGUGCAAGCGUUAAUCGGAAUUACUGGGCGUAAAGCGCGCGUAGGUGGUUCAGCAAGUUGGAGGUGAAAUCCCCGGGCUCAACCUGGGAACUGCCUCCAAAACUACUGAGCUAGAGUACGGUAGAGGGUAGUGGAAUUUCCUGUGUAGCGGUGAAAUGCGUAGAUAUAGGAAGGAACACCAGUGGCGAAGGCGACUACCUGGACUGAUACUGACACUGAGGUGCGAAAGCGUGGGGAGCAAACAGGAUUAGAUACCCUAGUAGUCC
rnacentral:rRNA from 1 species